CACACACUCACUGAUAGAAUAACACACUGAUAUACACACACCGACAGACACACACACACUCACUGAUAGAAUAACACACUGAUAUACACACACCGACAGACACACACUCACUGAUAGAAUAACACACUGAUAUACACACACCGACAGACACACACACACACACUCACUGAUAGAAUAACACACUGAUAUACACACACACACACUCACUGAUAGAAUUACACACUGAUAUACACACAC